AUUGAACGCUGGCGGCAGGCCUAACACAUGCAAGUCGAGCGAGCGGCGGACGGGUGAGUAAUGUUUGGGGAACUGCCCGAUGGAGGGGGAUAACUACUGGAAACGGUAGCUAAUACCGCAUAUCAUCGGAUGUGCCCAGAUGGGAUUAGCUAGUAGGUGUGGUAACGGCUCACCUAGGCGACGAUCCCUAGCUGGUCUGGGAGGAUGAUCAGGCAGACUGGAACUGAGACACGGUCCAGACUCCGGCGGGAGGCAGCAGUGGGGAAUAUUGCACAAUGGGCGAAAGCGUGAUGCAGCCAUGCGGCGUGUGUGAAGAGGACCUUAGGGUUGUAAAGCACUUUCAGCGGGGAGGCGUUACCGGCAGAAGAAGCACCGGCUAACUCCGUGCCAGCAGCCGCGGUAAUAC
rnacentral:rRNA from 1 species